UCACUGCUCUUAGCUUUCACCUCAGUGAGGCAGGUGAUUGCUGAAGAACCCACUUGUAGAUAUGGAUGCAGCCCACCUCUACGUAUUAUACUGCAUGACAAAAUAACAAGGACGUUGCAUCAAUGUCAAAGUCAACGGGACUUUUCUCUAGAAAUCCCACCAGUGGUGUCACAGCAGUUGGUGAUGCCAGCCUGUCUAAGCAGUUAUUGCUUCCUGACAACUUCAUGCCCUUGAAACCAUGUUUGCAGAUGGAUGGUAAAUAAUACUCUUCUGAAAACAACAAAAAAGUAGGAUUUUGGAGUUAGUUGUGCCAUGACAAGAAGGUUUAAGAAAAACAGUGUAUUUCUGUCUUAUUUUGCCACAUGACAACAGAAAAUGUCACUAUAUUUUAAUACACAGAUAUAUGCAGAAUGAUCAUUCACUUGGAAAGUCAUUUUAAGGAAGUAUAAUUAUUUUUCAUUGCCAUAAUUGUUCUUGAAUUUUACAGAAAUGCUUUGUAUAUUUCAUGGCAACCGUUUCGUCACCUGAAAGCAACAGAGCUGUAGAUGGCACUCUCCAUUACUGUGGCAAGAUUUACUUCUUGGGGAAAGAUAUUCUGAAAAUACCCAAACAAAAUACCAGUAAGAAUAAUAUAGUAUGUCCUAUACUGUCCAAACACAUGCAUUUAUCAUGUAGCAGAAAUAGUGAACAUAAAUGGUGAACUAAAAAUGGGCGAAUUAACACAGAACUUAGUUGACCUUGUUUUAAAGGAGAGAAAACAGUCUGUUUAUGUCCCAGAAAACAGCUGCCUUCUUUUUCCAAGUGAUAAACCAGUCUGGAAGAACUGGGUAAGACACAUUAUUAACACAAGUUUCAUUUUUUUUUUGUAAAGACGUGGCUGGAGUCAGUUUGACAGCACAGUUAUUUUCAUACCCCACGUCUAAUCUGGUCUUGGCUGCCUUAUCCUCACACAUAAGUACCCAAGUGGCCUGCACAGAACAUUGUCCCCUAUGCAGGUGACCCCUUUCCUUUUGGAAUUACAAUGCUAUUCUCCCUGUCUUCAUUAACUUUGCUCACCAACUCUCUUCUUACAGAUGAUCAUACAGGAAAUAAUACAGAAAAUUAAGAUAAAUGAUGAAAAAAAUUGCACAGACAUUUAUAACUACAAGAUUUCAGAUAUGAAAUUUCUCAUCUCUUCCCUCUCCUGUUUUUACAAGAAUGGAAGCAGUGAGCAGUUAUGUGCACGUGUAACAUGAGAAUAAUAAUUAAGAAAGGAAAAUAACUAUGUACUAAAGACAGAUCUGAAAGAGGAAAACAGGGUUUUUCCCUCUCAUGGUUUACUAAAAUGUAGAAGAAUAUCCCGAGAAGGAUUAUUUUUAAAAUGCUAUUUUCUACUAAAGCCUUGACAUUGCUUCUUUAAUGCAGAGUUCACUCAAGUUUCAGAGGUUUUUGGAACUCCCAGCACUCAGAUGUAGACUUCAGUCCUGAAGUAUCAGGUACUUUAUUGUACUUAAUAAAACCCUACUUGCUGCUGUGAGUGAGCUGAACGCAUACUGCUUUAAGGAACCAGAGUGUAAAUCAUCUCAUACCAGCAAAAAUGUCUGGGAAAAAUGUAGGAAGAAAUAUCCCACAUACAUGCACUGCCAAGAUCUUCUGUUCCUUCCAAAAGCAGAGUAUGAUAUGGAGUUUGGGUACUCCAGACAAAGAUAAGUGAUGUGAACUUAGCAAAAAAUUCUACAGUAAUUCUCCUGUUCCACUUAAAAGGUAGAAUUGUUUUAAGUAGGUUGGGUUGUUUGGUGGCAAGAUAUCGUAAAUCCUUAUGAUGUGCAGGAAAUGCACAGGAUGUGUGACAGGGAUAUCUAAGAGAGAAUAAUGAUACAUAUUCCGACUUUUACAUAAUGGAAAGGAUAUAGAGCAGUGGGACUUUUGGAGGAUAAAACAUACGUGCGCACACCUUAUGUGUACACACCUAAAAAGAGGGUUCAUGCAUACUUGUCGAGGUCAAGAAUAGGGAAGAAAUGGGAAGCAUGUAUUGUUUAGAAAAAUCUGAGUAGCACAUGAAUAAAAU
rnacentral:lncRNA from 1 species